UCAAUUGCUUCUUUUGCAUCUAGUUGUGUUGAUUUUGUUUCGGGUUUAAAGCUGACUUUAAUUGGAAGAUUUUCUUCUAGAAUCUCUGGAAGAAUAAGGUCACCAUUCAUCAGUUUGUAUCCUCUAUUUUUGAUACUAUCAAUUUCAAUGCCUUCUUGUUCUAGUCGCUUGAUAGCUUUCCAAAUUGAUGUUCGGCUUAGGGAUAGUUUUUCUGCGAUUUUUUCUCCGCUGAUAUAGUCGGUUUCUUUAGAUAGGAUUUGGUAGACAGCUUGGUAGGAUUUCAUAAUGUUGCCUUUCUCACUAGUUGGUAUUGAGAGUAUUCUUUUCUUGUAUGACUUGGAGUCUGAUUAAAGUAUUGUUUAUAAGCUUUCGAAAAAUGGAGUGGAUCUGAAAAACCUACCGAGUAUGCAAUUACCUUGAUGGACUCUUGGGUAUUUUCGAGAAGUUGUCUAGCUCGGUGCAUUCGAACGUAGAGUAGGUAUUCUUUGGGUGAUAAGGUAUUAAAUUCUUUGAAUACGCUUGAUAAGUAGCUUCUGUGAACGGAUAGUUCUUUUGCUAAAUCUUGAAUUGUAAGUGAUUGAGGAUAGUGGCUAUCAAUUAAUCGUUUGCAUUCAAGAUAGAGUUGGUGGGUUGAUGAAAUAUUCUUUUUUUCUGAUUGGGAGCAAUAGUUCCCAGAUGAAACAUCAGUUCAUGAAGUUGUCCCAUGAUAUGGAGUUGAGCUAAUUCACUUGAUUUUGUAAUCUGAGCGAAGCGGACAAUGUCUGAGAUGAGUUUUGCAGUAGUCUGGGUAUGACAAGUUUCAGAUUGGAUGAGAUAGGAUUGAUCAGAAAUUUGAGAAAGAGCAAAAUAAUCAGGGGAUUUCCCUCCAGUGAUUCCUAACCAGUAGUAGGCCCAAGGUUCUUUACUAUCUGCUUGAUAAAAGGUUAGUUCCUCUGGUUUUAAUAGAAAGAAAUCUCCUUCUUUUAAAUCAACAAUUUUACCCUUGUAAUGAAAUUUUCCUUGUCCUUUACUAAUGUAAUGUAGGACGUAUGUAUCACGAAUGGCUGGACCAAAAGAGUAAUUAGGUGUGCAUUCCUCAUAUCCAUAAAAGCUUAGGGCAAGGUCGAUUGUUCCAGUCUGGUAUUCUGAAAAAACUAACAUGUGCUACCUCCUACCUAACAUUUUACCAUAUUCUUGAGACAUUUUUCUAUUUUGGAAAGCGAUUUCAGGUGAUAAAAUAUAAUCAAUAAAGUGAUGAGGUGAAGUAAAUGGGAGUUAGGAUAGAGAAUAAUCUAUUUUAUGUUGAGAGUAAAAAUCUAAGUUUGAUUAUUGAAAAUCGAAAUGGCUACUUACUUUUGAAACAUUUAGGAAAGACUAUUAAGAACUAUAAAGGUUCCAAUAGUGUUUAUGAACGAGACCAUGCCUUUUCAGGAAAUCCAACGGCUACUAAUCGAACCUUUAGUUUAGAUACUCAGCGACAGAUUUUUGGACAACAUGGCUUAGGAGAUUUUAGGAAACCAACUAUACAGGUUCAGCAUAGUGUAACUGAAGUAACAGACUUUCGAUUUGUAGAAGCAAAGAUUUUAAAAGGUCAGAAUGGUCCACAGGGCUUACCUUCUCCACAUAGCAUGGACGAUACAGAGACUCUUGUCUUAAUGUUAGAAGAUUCUAAGGCUCAACUUAGUCUGACUUUGUAUUAUACUACUUUUAAUAAUGAUGCGACUAUUACUAGCUACAGUAAAUUAGAUAAUAAUAGUAAUCAGGAAGUUGUCAUCCAUAAAGAUUUUUCUUUUAUGGCUGAUUUUCCAGCUGCAGAUUACGAAAUAGUAACUCUGCAGGGUGCUUAUGCUCGUGAAAAGACUGUUAGACGUCAACAGGUAGAACAAGGAAUCUUUUCGAUUAGUUCAAACCGAGGUGCUUCUGGUCAUGCUCAAACACCAGCUCUUCUACUAUGCGAACAAGGAGUCACAGAGGAUGCUGGGAAUGUGUUUGCUAUUCAACUAAUGUAUAGUGGCAACUUUGAAGCUUUUGUUCAAAAAAAUCAAUUGAAUGAAGUUCGGGUGGCUAUUGGCAUUAAUCCAGAAAACUUUUCUUGGAAGUUAGCCCCUGAGGAAUACUUUGAAACACCGGUAGCUUUAGUGACUCAUUCAGAUCAGGGAUUAACUGGUAUUAGUCAUGAAAGUCAGAAUUUUGUACUGAAGCACAUUAUUCUAAGUGAAUUUUCUAAAAAAGAACGUCCAAUUCUAAUCAAUAACUGGGAAGCUACUUACUUUGACUUUCAGAGAGAAAAACUGUUAGAGUUAGCAGAUGAAGCUAAGAAAGUUGGCAUUGAACUUUUUGUAUUAGAUGAUGGUUGGUUUGGCAAUCGUUUUGAUGAUAAUCGUGCUUUAGGUGAUUGGGUUGUUAAUGAGGAAAAACUGGGUGGAAGUCUAGAAAGUCUGAUUUCAGCUAUCCAUGAAAGAGGUUUGCAGUUUGGACUUUGGUUAGAACCCGAAAUGAUUUCUGUAGAUAGUGAUUUGUAUCGUCAACAUCCUGACUGGGCUAUUCAGGUUCCUGAUUAUGAGCAUACUUAUUCUCGGAAUCAAUUAGUACUUAAUCUUGCCAAUCCUCAGGUAGUAGAAUACUUGAAAAGUGUCUUAGAUCAACUCCUAUCUUAUCAUGAGAUUGAUUACAUUAAAUGGGAUAUGAACCGCAAUAUCACUAAGCUAGGGAAUGGAUUAACUUAUCUAGAGACACAGAUGCAAUCUCAUCAGUACAUGCUGGGGCUUUACGAACUCGUUUCUUAUCUGACAGAGAAGCACAGCCAUAUUCUCUUUGAGUCCUGCUCUGGUGGUGGUGGACGAAAUGAUCUUGGUAUGAUACGCUAUUUCCCACAAGUUGCAACUACAGGUUUAGCUUUGUUUGGGCUCGGCGCUUGCUCCAACUAUGGUAAAUCUGCGGAUGGCACAGUGACCAUCGAGUAUUUCAACCAGAAAAAAGAAAUGACCAAAACCUUGGAAGAAAUCACUCGUGAUUUUGAGAAGGAAAACCCUAAGAUCAAGGUCAAAGUCGUCAAUGUACCAAAUGCUGGUGAAGUAUUGAAGACACGCGUUCUCGCAGGAGAUGUGCCUGAUGUGGUCAAUAUUUACCCACAGUCCAUCGAACUGCAAGAAUGGGCAAAAGCAGGUGUUUUUGAAGAUUUGAGCAACAAAGACUACCUGAAACGCGUGAAAAAUGGCUACGCUGAAAAAUAUGCUGUAAACGAAAAAGUUUACAACGUUCCUUUUACAGCUAAUGCUUAUGGAAUUUACUACAACAAAGAUAAAUUCGAAGAACUGGGCUUGAAGGUUCCUGAAACCUGGGAUGAAUUUGAACAGUUAGUCAAAGAUAUCGUUGCUAAAGGACAAACACCAUUUGGAAUUGCAGGUGCAGAUGCUUGGACACUCAAUGGUUACAAUCAAUUAGCCUUUGCGACAGCAACAGGUGGAGGAAAAGAAGCAAAUCAAUACCUUCGUUAUUCUCAACCAAAUGCCAUUAAAUUGUCGGAUCCGAUUAUGAAAGAUGAUAUCAAGGUCAUGGACAUCCUUCGCAUCAAUGGCUCUAAGNAACAGCCCAGACCACCAGCUAAGGUCCCAAAAUAAUUGUUAAGUGGAAAAGGAUGUGGGGUUGCACAGACAACUAGGAUGUUAGCUUAGAAGCAGCUAUUCAUUCAAAGAGUGCGUAAUAGCUCACUAGUCGAGUGACCCUGCGCCGAAAAUGUACCGGGGCUAAAACAAUUUACCGAAGCUGUGGAUACCUUUAUAGGUAUGGUAGGAGAGCGUUCUAUGUGUGAUGAAGGUGUACCGUGAGGAGUGCUGGAACGCAUAGAAGUGAGAAUGCCGGUAUGAGUAGCGAAAGACAGGUGAGAAUCCUGUCCACCGUAAGACUAAGGUUUCCAGGGGAAGGCUCGUCCGCCCUGGGUUAGUCGGGACCUAAGGAGAGACCGAAAGGUGUAUCCGAUGGACAACAGGUUGAUAUUCCUGUACUAGAGUAUGUAGUGAUGGAGGGACGCAGUAGGCUAACUAAAGCAGACGAUUGGAAGAGUCUGUCUAAGCAGUGAGGUGUGAAUUGAGUCAAAUGCUUAAUUCUAUAACAUUGAGCUGUGAUGGGGAGCGAAGUUUAGUAGCGAAGUUAGUGACGUCACACUGCCAAGAAAAGCUUCUAGCGUUUAAACAUACUCUACCCGUACCGCAAACCGACACAGGUAGUCGAGGCGAGUAGCCUCAGGUGAGCGAGAGAACUCUCGUUAAGGAACUCGGCAAAAUGACCCCGUAACUUCGGGAGAAGGGGUGCUGACUUUAAGUCAGCCGCAGUGAAUAGGCCCAAGCAACUGUUUAUCAAAAACACAGCUCUCUGCUAAAUCGUAAGAUGAUGUAUAGGGGGUGACGCCUGCCCGGUGCUGGAAGGUUAAGAGGAGUGCUUAGCGUAAGCGAAGGUAUGAAUUGAAGCCCCAGUAAACGGCGGCCGUAACUAUAACGGUCCUAAGGUAGCGAAAUUCCUUGUCGGGUAAGUUCCGACCCGCACGAAAGGCGUAAUGAUUUGGGCACUGUCUCAACGAGAGACUCGGUGAAAUUUUAGUACCUGUGAAGAUGCAGGUUACCCGCGACAGGACGGAAAGACCCCAUGGAGCUUUACUGCAGUUUGAUAUUGAGUGUCUGUACCACAUGUACAGGAUAGGUAGGAGUCUAAGAGAUCGGGACACCAGUUUCGAAGGAGACGCUGUUGGGAUACUACCCUUGUGUUAUGGCCACUCUAACCCAGAUAGGUGAUCCCUAUCGGAGACAGUGUCUGACGGGCAGUUUGACUGGGGCGGUCGCCUCCUAAAAGGUAACGGAGGCGCCCAAAGGUUCCCUCAGAAUGGUUGGAAAUCAUUCGCAGAGUGUAAAGGUAUAAGGGAGCUUGACUGCGAGAGCUACAACUCGAGCAGGGACGAAAGUCGGGCUUAGUGAUCCGGUGGUUCCGUAUGGAAGGGCCAUCGCUCAACGGAUAAAAGCUACCCUGGGGAUAACAGGCUUAUCUCCCCCAAGAGUUCACAUCGACGGGGAGGUUUGGCACCUCGAUGUCGGCUCGUCGCAUCCUGGGGCUGUAGUCGGUCCCAAGGGUUGGGCUGUUCGCCCAUUAAAGCGGCACGCGAGCUGGGUUCAGAACGUCGUGAGACAGUUCGGUCCCUAUCCGUCGCGGGCGUAGGAAAUUUGAGAGGAUCUGCUCCUAGUACGAGAGGACCAGAGUGGACUUACCGCUGGUGUACCAGUUGUCUUGCCAAAGGCAUCGCUGGGUAGCUAUGUAGGGAAGGGAUAAACGCUGAAAGCAUCUAAGUGUGAAACCCACCUCAAGAUGAGAUUUCCCAUGAUUAUAUAUCAGUAAGAGCCCUGAGAGAUGAUCAGGUAGAUAGGUUAGAAGUGGAAGUGUGGCGACACAUGUAGCGGACUAAUACUAAUAGCUCGAGGACUUAUCCAA
rnacentral:rRNA from 1 species